rnacentral:tRNA from 1 species
GGUCGUGUGGCCGAGGGGCUUAGGCGUCGGUCUGCAAAACCGGUUACGGCGGUUCGAAUCCGCCCACGACCU